rnacentral:rRNA from 1 species
AGUGAACGCUGGCGGUAGGCCUAACACAUGCAAGUCGAACGGCAGCACAGUAAGAGCUUGCUCUUACGGGUGGCGAGUGGCGGACGGGUGAGGAAUACAUCGGAAUCUACUUUUUCGUGGGGGAUGACGUAGGGAAACUUACGCUAAUACCGCAUACGACCUACGGGUGAAAGCAGGGGAUCUUCGGACCUUGCGCGAUUGAAUGAGCCGAUGUCGGAUUAGCUAGUUGGCGGGGUAAAGGCCCACCAAGGCGACGAUCCGUAGCUGGUCUGAGAGGAUGAUCAGCCACACUGGAACUGAGACACGGUCCAGACUCCUACGGGAGGCAGCAGUGGGGAAUAUUGGACAAUGGACGCAAGCCUGAUCCAGCCAUACCGCGUGGGUGAAGAAGGCCUUCGGGUUGUAAAGCCCUUUUGUUGGGAAAGAAAAGCAGCAGGUUAAUACCCCGCUGUUCUGACGGUACCCAAAGAAUAAGCACCGGCUAACUUCGUG